rnacentral:rRNA from 1 species
UACGUAGGGCGCAAGCGUUGUCCGGAAUUAUUGGGCGUAAAGAGCUCGUAGGCGGUUUGUCGCGUCUGCUGUGAAAACCUAAGGCUCAACCUUGGGCUUGCAGUGGGUACGGGCAGACUAGAGUGCGGUAGGGUGACUGGAAUUCCUGGUGUAGCGGUGGAAUGCGCAGAUAUCAGGAGGAACACCGAUGGCGAAGGCAGGUCACUGGGCCGCAACUGACGC